rnacentral:piRNA from 1 species
GACAGUUGCAAGUGGAGCUGGAAUGCUGC